UGUUGACUGGACUUCACUUCUUCUCUGCUUAGGGCUCUCGGGAGCCAGGGGAGAUGCUGCCCCGGAAGCUGAAACG
ensembl:snoRNA